UGGGGAAUAUUGCACAAGGGAGGGAACUCUGAUGCAGCGACGCCGCGUGAGUGAUGAAGGAAUUCGUUUCGUAAAACUCUGUUCUAUGGGAAGAAAAGGACUGUACCAUAGGAGAAAGCUCCGGCUAAAUACGUGCCAGCAGCCGCGGUAAUACGUAUGGAGCGAGCGUUGUCCGGAAUUAUUGGGCGUAAAGGGUGCGCAGGCGGCUUUACAAGUUGGAUGUGAAAUAUUGUGGCUCAACCACAAACGUGCAUCCAAAACUGCAAAGCUUGAGUUAAGGAGAGGUAAGUGGAAUUCCUGGUGUAGCGGUGGAAUGCGUAGAUAUCAGGAGGAAUACCGGUGGCGAAGGCGACUUACUGGACUUAAACUGACGCUCAGGCACGAAAGCGUGGGGAGCAAACAGG
rnacentral:rRNA from 1 species